rnacentral:rRNA from 1 species
AAAUUGAAGAGUUUGAUCAUGGCUCAGAUUGAACGCUGGCGGCAGGCCUAACACAUGCAAGUCGAACGGUAGCAGGAAGAAGCUUGCUUCUUUGCUGACGAGUGGCGGACGGGUGAGUAAUGUCUGGGAAACUGCCCGAUGGAGGGGGAUAACUACUGGAAACGGUAGCUAAUACCGCAUAAUGUCUUCGGACCAAAGAGGGGGACCUUCGGGCCUCUUGCCAUCGGAUGUGCCCAGAUGGGAUUAGCUAGUAGGUGGGGUAACGGCUCACCUAGGCGACGAUCCCUAGCUGGUCUGAGAGGAUGACCAGCCACACUGGAACUGAGACACGGUCCAGACUCCUACGGGAGGCAGCAGUGGGGAAUAUUGCACAAUGGGCGCAAGCCUGAUGCAGCCAUGCCGCGUGUAUGAAGAAGGCCUUCGGGUUGUAAAGUACUUUCAGCGGGGAGGAAGGGAGUGAGGUUAAUAACCU